rnacentral:rRNA from 1 species
AUUGAACGCUGGCGGCAUGCUUUACACAUGCAAGUCGAACGGUAACAGGCCUUCGGGCGCUGACGAGUGGCGAACGGGUGAGUAAUGCAUCAGAACGUGCCCAGUCGUGGGGGAUAACGCAGCGAAAGCUGUGCUAAUACCGCAUACGAUCUGCGGAUGAAAGCGGGGGACCUUCGGGCCUCGCGCGAUUGGAUCGGCCGAUGUCAGAUUAGGUAGUUGGUGGGGUAAAGGCUCACCAAGCCAACGAUCUGUAGCUGGUCUGAGAGGACGACCAGCCACACUGGGACUGAGACACGGCCCAGACUCCUACGGGAGGCAGCAGUGGGGAAUUUUGGACAAUGGGCGCAAGCCUGAUCCAGCAAUGCCGCGUGCAGGAAGAAGGCCUUCGGGUUGUAAACUGCUUUUGUACGGAGCGAAAAGGCUCCCUCUAAUACAGGGGGCUCAUGACGGUACCGUAAGAAGAAGCACCGGCUAACUACGUGCCAGCAGCCGCAGUAAUAC